rnacentral:rRNA from 1 species
GAUGAACGCUAGCGGGAGGCUUAAUACAUGCAAGUCGAGCGGCAAGGUCUUCGGACCCUAGAGCGGCGCACGGGUGAGUAACGCGUACGCAAUCUGCCCUUCAGUGAGGAAUAGCCCUGGGAAACUGGGAUUAAUACCUCAUAAUAUUAUUUAAUCGCAUGGUUAGAUAAUUAAAGUUCUGGCGCUGAAGGAUGAGCGUGCGUCUGAUUAGCUAGUUGGUAGGGUAACGGCCUACCAAGGCUACGAUCAGUAGGGGGCGUGAGAGCGUGACCCCCUACACGGGUACUGAGACACGGACCCGACUCCUACGGGAGGCAGCAGUAAGGAAUAUUGGGCAGUGGAGGCAACUCUGACCCAGCCAUCCCGCGUGAAGGAUUAAGGCCCUAUGGGUUGUAAACUUCUUUUGUUUGGGAAGAAAUCUGGACAUUUAUGUGCAGUUGACGGUACCUUACGAAUAAGCACCGGCUAACUCCGUGCCAGCCGCCGCAGUAACAC